CUUUAGCUCAGCUGGUUAGAGCAUCUGACUGUUAAUCAGAGGGUCCAAGGUUCGAGUCCUUGAA
rnacentral:tRNA from 1 species